CCUACGGGAGGCAGCAGUGGGGAAUAUUGCGCAAUGGGCGAAAGCCUGACGCAGCGACGCCGCGUGAGGGAUGAAGGUCUUCGGAUCGUUAACCUCUGUCAGCAGGGAAGAACGGUCACUGUGCUAAUCAGCAGUGAAUUGACGGUACCUGCAAAGGAAGCACCGGCUAACUCCGUGCCAGCAGCCGCGGUAAUACGGAGGGUGCGAGCGUUAAUCGGAAUUACUGGGCGUAAAGCGCUCGUAGGCGGUAUGUCAAGUCAAGGGUGAAAUCCCCGCGCUCAACGUGGGAAGUGCCUUUGAAACUGGCAAACUGGAGUGUGUGAGAGGAUAGUGGAAUUCCAGGUGUAGGAGUGAAAUCCGUAGAUAUCUGGAGGAACAUCAGUGGCGAAGGCGACUAUCUGGCACAUAACUGACGCUGAGGAGCGAAAGCGUGGGUAGCAAACAGGAUUAGAUACCCUAGUAGUC
rnacentral:rRNA from 1 species